rnacentral:tRNA from 1 species
GCUGUUGUAGCUCAGGGGUAGAGCACUUCCUUGGUAAGGAAGAGGUCGUGAGUUCAAAGCUCAUCAACAGCU